CCGUCGCACCUACCGAUUGAAUGUUUCGGUGAAGAUUCCGGACUGUGGCUCGCGUGCUUCACGGCGCUCUUGCCGUGGGAAGUUAUCUAAACCUCAACAUUUAGAGGAAGGUGAAGUCGUAACAAGGUUUCCGUUAGUGAACCUGCGGAAGGAUCAUUA
rnacentral:rRNA from 1 species